rnacentral:rRNA from 1 species
AGUGAACGCUGGCGGUAGGCCUAACACAUGCAAGUCGAACGGCAGCACAGUAAGAGCUUGCUCUUACGGGUGGCGAGUGGCGGACGGGUGAGGAAUACAUCGGAAUCUACUUUUUCGUGGGGGAUAACGUAGGGAAACUUACGCUAAUACCGCAUACGACCUACGGGUGAAAGCAGGGGAUCUUCGGACCUUGCGCGAUUGAAUGCGCCGAUGUCGGAUUAGCUAGUUGGCGGGGUAAAGGCCCACCAAGGCGACGAUCCGUAGCUGGUCUGAGAGGAUGAUCCGCCACACUGGAACUGAGACACGGUCCAGACUCCUACGGGAGGCAGCAGUUGGGAAUAUUGGACAAUGGGCGCAAGCCUGCACCAGCCAUACCGCGUGGGUGAAGAAGGCCUUCGGGUUGUAAAGCCCUUUUGUUAGGAAAGAAAAGCAGCAGGUUAAUACCCCGCUGUUCUGACGGUACCCAAAGAAUAAGCACCGGCUAACUUCGU